GACGAACGCUGGCGGCGUGCUUAACACAUGCAAGUCGAACGAAGAGCGAUGGAAGCUUGCUUCUAUCAAUCUUAGUGGCGAACGGGUGAGUAACGCGUAAUCAACCUGCCCUUCAGAGGGGGACAACAGUUGGAAACGACUGCUAAUACCGCAUACGAUCUAAUCUCGGCAUCGAGGAUAGAUGAAAGGUGGCCUCUACAUGUAAGCUAUCACUGAAGGAGGGGAUUGCGUCUGAUUAGCUAGUUGGAGGGGUAACGGCCCACCAAGGCGAUGAUCAGUAGCCGGUCUGAGAGGAUGAACGGCCACAUUGAGACUGAGACACGGCCCAGACUCCUACGGGAGGCAGCAGUGGGGAAUCUUCCGCAAUGGACGAAAGUCUGACGGAGCAACGCCGCGUGAGUGAUGACGGCCUUCGGGUUGUAAAGCUCUGUUAAUCGGGACGAAAGGCCUUCUUGCGAAUAGGGAGAAGGAUUGACGGUACCGGAAUAGAAAGCCACGGCUAACUACGUG
rnacentral:rRNA from 1 species